UUGCCGUGUUUAUUAGGUACAAUACAUUAGCUGGACAACAUUAACGGUUUAGUCGGGAGACCCUUAACAUCUGACAAUAUUAUCCGACACAACGAAGCCCGCAAAAAUAUAUGACUUUCGUUGUACAAGAUAUUAUUGCAGGUUGUAACAACAACAUACUCUAAUGACCAAUUGUAAACCUUACAUUUUUAACCCUUUGACCGUCAAAGACGUCAAUAGGGGAUAUUACUGCAAUGUUCUGCCGCUAGAGUGCAGCACUACCGACUCUAGUAAAUUCAUAGACUAACUUAUACAUACUGUGCCUUAAACUGUUUUUUGACAAGUUUUCACAGACAAUAAAAUAUGACAUUGAUCCAUCAAGGCGGUUUGUUAACAAGAGCCUACCGGUAAACGCGAAAAUCGAAAUUUAGUUAUCUGCCCCUUUAUCGCUCGAAUAUGCAAGAGUGAUAGAGAGAUUAGAUUAGAUAACGAAAUUCUUUCCUUGCUGUUGUUGUCUGUAGGUACAUGUUCGUACAUGUUUUGUGAUCGUCACGAAUAAAAAUCUUUUAUCUUUAUCUUUAAAUUUCGGCUUUCUUGUUUCGCGGUAGGCCAUGUGAUUGACGUGACGCUGACGUGUGAUGUGUCAAUGUGGUUUGUUUACUGUAUGUGCCACUAAGGUGCCACCUACGCAGAGCUUUGCCUAAUAUUCCCUAUUGAUGCGCGCGGCUACAGCCCAAUAUCAACCUUCAUGCAUUUUGACAAGGUUCACGAUGACGCGCCCUACACGAUAGGCGUGGCGGUCUAAGGGUUAACAGACGAAAAGCCAGAAAUUUGAAUGUGCUGCUGUUAGUACGGUAACGUUUAUCGACAUAAAUCAUUGGUCUCUUUUUAACAAUGAGGGACAAAUGUACAAUGUCGAAAAAGUUACCGAAUAAGGGAUGUUUCACUUACAAUCGAUGCUUACAAACGCUAUUAGUAAUAACAAUACAUUCCAUUUAUUUCCUUUUAAGGAAAUAAUUGCGCAAAUUAAAUUAGUCAAUUACGACUCCAGUAAAAGGAGGAUUCACAAUACAAUUUCAGACAUACCUACCCCUACUUAUCGUUAUGUCAAAAAAAGUUAGCAUAACUAUCUCAUUUUUUUACAUUCUCUAAAAAAUAUAGAACCAAUUUAAGCAUAAGGCUGAACUUCGAUGUUUUUUUAGUAACUAAGUAAAAUAGAAUACUUAGCCUAAAUUCGCCCACAUUUAAUGAUUCCAUUGUGUUACGAAAAUUAAUCAUACACAUGUGUACAGACAUAGACAUAACCGUUACAUAAUGGCAUCAACGAAGUAUUACGUUUGUCAAAUUGCAGUGAAUCCACCUUUCCAAAAACAAUUGAAAUUAUUUUGUUUAUUGACAAUUCUCAUAACACUAUAGAUAAGAAACACACACUAACAAAUAUUAUGCGUAAUGCGAAUGAUUCAGAAUUGCAUUUGCACUGACACUAACGUGUCUUGUACUUAAGUAAACGUAAUAGUAUUGAGUAAAUCACAACAAAAACAAUACUGGUUUAAUAAGAGGCAUUAUAUUGAUAGGUAUUCAUAAAUAUAACAAAGAAAAUAUCGCACUCAAAUAGUGUCACUGUCACUCCAUACGAUUUAAAAACAUUCUAUCGAUGAAAUAUAAUUAAUAAUAAUAUUUUUCUCAUAGCUUGGGUACGGUGACUGCUCUGUCACUUUACCAAGUUAUAUGAAAAAUACAAUAAUCAUAUCUUAUUUAUAUGAAUCAAUUUUGAAUUGUGACACUAUUCAUUGCAAUAAAAAUAAAAAAUACUCACAAACAAAACCUGGAUGCCAUGUGUGUUAGGGCCUGCUAACUUUAGGUAAAUUUAUUAAAAAUCCAUUACAUUAAAACGUGCCAAACGAAAUGUCUUUAGAAAUUCAAUUUUACUUCCAAAAAAUGCUAUUUCAAAAAUUAGACUGUUACACUAUUUAGUUAGUAUAAAAUUAUUUUUGUUAAACUAUUGUAGAAAAACUAUGCACUUCGGCACCAUUGGCAGUGUUUUAGCUCACCUAUUUACUACGAUAACAUCAAACAGAUUAGACAUGUUUAGACAUACAAUUUGGUUAAAUAGGUCAUUUAAUUCUGCUGUCCAAUUAUGUAUGGUCACAUUUAAAACAUGUAAA